rnacentral:rRNA from 1 species
GAUGAACGCUGGCGGCGUGCCUAACACAUGCAAGUCGAACGUUAGAGUGUAGCAAUAUGCUCAAAAGUGGCGAACGGGUGAGUAACACGUAGGUAACCUGCCGCGCAGAGGGGGAUAACGACUGGAAACGGUCGCUAAUACCGCAUGGUACCAUGAAAGGGGGACUUUUCAUGGUUAAAACCUUGGUGCUGCGCGAGGGGCCUGCGUCCGAUUAGUUAGUUGGUGAGGUAAUGGCUCACCAAGACGAUGAUCGGUAGCUGGUCUGAGAGGAUGAUCAGCCACACUGGAAUUGAGAUACGGUCCAGACUCCUACGGGUGGCUG